rnacentral:rRNA from 1 species
GACGAACGCCGGCGGCGUGCCUAAUACAUGCAAGUAGAACGCACAGUUUAUACCGUAGCUUGCUACACCAUAGACUGUGAGUUGCGAACGGGUGAGUAACGCGUAGGUAACCUGCCUGGUAGCGGGGGAUAACUAUCGGAAACGAUAGCUAAUACCGCAUAAUAUUAAUUAUUGCAUGAUAAUUAAUUGAAAGGUGCAAUUGCACCACUACCAGAUGGACCUGCGUUGUAUUAGCUAGUAGGUGAGGUAACGGCUCACCUAGGCGACGAUACAUAGCCGACCUGAGAGGGUGAUCGGCCACACUGGGACUGAGACACGGCCCAGACUCCUACGGGAGGCAGCAGUAGGGAAUCUUCGGCAAUGGACGAAAGUCUGACCGAGCAACGCCGCGUGAGUGAAGAAGGUUUUCGGAUCGUAAAGCUCUGUUGUAAGAGAAGAACGGGUGUGAGAGUGGAAAGUUCACACUGUGACGGUAUCUUACCGGAAAGGGACGGCUAACUACGUG